GGAGGUGUGUGUGCAGACAGGAGGCUGAUCACAUCCACGAUGAGAGGACUCACACUGCUCUGUUUGGUGGGAUUUAUUCUCACAGCUUCGCAAGCGGGUGUUACAGCUACAGGUACACCCACCAGAAUACCCACCUCUUUCUGGCAUUCACUAUCCUCUAAUAAUACUCGUUCAUCUACUGGAAAUGGUACACAGGCCGUUCAUCACAACAAUACAGUUGAACCAACAGCGAAAGCAACAGUUGAACCAACAGCGAAAGAAGACACACCAAAUGUGCUCUAAAAACUUCACAAAGAAAGACACCGUUCGUCUGAUGACUGUUCAUCACAACAUGUCAUUGGAAGCAACAGCGAAAGAAGACGUAUCCAAGAGACGCUAAAAAGAUGAAAACAUGAAACCUCCCAGAGACAGACCACCAAUUUUCUGUUGGUUUUACUGCCUUCUCUGAAUAAACAUUAAAAGGCUGUAUAAAAAAAAA